rnacentral:rRNA from 1 species
GACGAACGCUGGCGGCGGGCUUAACACAUGCAAGUCGAACGGAAAUGCCCUGCUUUUGUGGGGUGCUCGAGGGGCGAACGGGGGAGUAACACGUGAGUAACCUGCCCUUGACUGUGGGAGAACUUCAGGAAAAUGGGGCUAAUACCGGAUAGGAGCUCCUGCAGCAUGGUGGGGGUUGGAAAGUGUCGGCGGGCGGGGAUGGACUCGCGGCUUAUCAGUCUGUUGGUUGGGGAGUGGCUUACCAAAGCUUUGACGGGUAGCCGGCCUGAGAGGGUGAACGGCGACAUUACGCCUGAGAUACGGCCCAGACUCCUACGGGGGGCAGCGGUGGCGAAUAUUGCACAAUGGGCGGACGUGUAUUGAAGCAACGCCCCGUGCGUAAUGACGGCCCUCGGGGUGUAAACCGAUUUCGCCUGUUACGUAGCGUGAGUGACGUUAAUGGGUAAAGAAGCACCGGCUAACUACGUG